rnacentral:lncRNA from 1 species
UCGGAACCACUGCUAAGAAUGGAAUGCAUCGAUUUGGGAGAAAAGAAAUGACAACCUAAGAUUCUUCUUUCACCUUCACUGAGAACAAAUUACACAUUACAACCAAAUCAAACACCAUUGAGAUAAUCCAAGAAUCAAUCACCUUUUAAAUAAACUUUGAAUCUCUAAUAUCCGGGAGAAAUUAUUCAAUUUGAUUCAUUACAAAUAAAUCUUUCAAUACCCAGUGCUCAGGAAUAAUUUCAUUCAAAUUACUAAAAAAAAUCAUUGAAACAAAUUACCUAAGGAAAUUCAUUUACACUGAGAAUUAACAUUCCAAUCACAAAUCUAUUGAACUUACAAAAUAAUCAAAAGAUAGAUUAACAAAUGAAGCAAAAUACCGUCAAUGAAUUACUGCAUGAACAACUUAAAAAACCUGUAUUUUCAGGCUCAUCUUCACCCAUAUUUCAUCAAUCUAUUCACACAACAUUUAUACAUAUUCAUCAAACAGCUUGUAAUGCUUUUAAAUUUCAUCAAUUUAAAAGCAAAUCAUGUGAAUGCCCAUCCAUUUACCAAAUCGAGUGGCUUGUGAAUGAGAAUCGAUGGAGAAGAUAAAAAGAAGAAGAAGGCGAUGAAUGAGCAAGAGAGAUAGAAAU